rnacentral:lncRNA from 1 species
GCCUUCCAACCAAUAAGAGAACCACCUAAUAGAAUACGAAACCAAGAGACAAACCUCCUAGUAUCUGGACAAGAAGCCCAGUCACUAUCACAAUAAGCAGACAAGGAGAGAUCAGGGGUGUUGCUGAUGAAAACCCCAACUUCAGAAGUACCUCUAAGAUAUCUGAGGAUGUGCAAGGCAGCAUGCAUGUGAGAUGAAGAAGGCCUCUGAAGGUACUGACUGAGAUGUUGCACAGCAAAGGCCAAAUCAGGUCUAGUGUGAGUGAGAAAAUUGAGUUUCCCCACCAGGCUCCUAUAGGAUUCAGGAGAUGGAAGAGGAUCACCUUCAUCCUGUUUGAGCUUGAUAGAAAGGUCAAGAGGACAGGUAACAGGGGUAACCUCCUCACAGUGAUAGGCUUUGAGAAGAUCAGUAAUAAACUUCUUCUGAUGAAGAAGCAGGCCAUCAGAAUGGUAAGUGACUUCAAUGCCAAGAAAGUAAUUGAGGAUUCCCAAGUCCUUGAUCUUGAACUCAAGGUCCAGAAACCUCUUUAAGGCAGUAAUCUCCUCCAAAUCAUUGCCAGUCAAAAUAAUAUCAUCAACAUACACAGCCAACAAUACAAUGGAAGAAGUAGAUUUCUUAAAGAAAAGGAAAUAAUCAUUGAAAGAAGAAGAAUAGCCUCUAGAACAUAGGGCUUGAGACAGCUUGGCAUACCACUGCCUAGAAGCUUGCCUCAAUCCAUAUAAGGAUUUCUGAAGAAGACAAACCAGAGGAGAAGAAGAGGAGGAACGGGUGACAGCCAGCCCAGGAGGUAGUUUCAUAUAAACCUCUUCAUCCAAACCCCAUGUAAAAAGGCAUUAUUCACAUCAAGUUGAAAAAGAGGCCAGUUCUGCUUAACAACCACAACAAUGAGGGACUUAAUAGUGGAAAAUUUGACAACAGAAGAAAAGGUUUCAUUGAAAUCUACUCCCUCAACCUGUGUGUAACCCCUAACAACCAAUCAAGCUUUAUAUCUUUCCACAGACCCAUCAACCCUAUACUUGAUCUAAUAGACCCAUUUGCAUCCAAUAGGUAUUUUACCAGGCGGAAGCUGAACUAUAGACCAAGUGUGAUUAGCUUCUAAAGCUGCAAACUCCUUUGUCAUUGCCUCCUGCCAUGCAGGGAGACAGGCAGCUUGCUGAUAGGAAGUAGGCUCUACCUGUGCACUGUUAACCAAACUAUGAAGACAAGUGGAAGAAGAACUGGAGCCAGAGAGAGAGGGAGGGAGAUUGCAGUCCAGCAGGGAGAGAGGCAGCCUGCUGAUAGGAAGUAGGCUCUACUUGUGCACUGUUAACCAAACUGUGAAGACAAGUGGAAGAAGAACUGGAGCCAGAGAGAGAUGGAGGGAGAUUGCAGACAUACUGUUGUAGAUGAGCAGGAGGAAUGUGAGUCCUGCUAGACCUUCUAAGAGCAGGUGUAGUAGCUACAGGAGGAGGAUGGUGCAAAGAAGGAGAGGUUGAAGAGGGAGAAAGAGGAGGUGCAGAUGUGGAAGAGGGUGAAAAAGAAGGACUGAGUAAGGAAUCAUCAGUAGGAGGAAAGUAAACAGGAGAUGGAUUGAGAGAUUGUAGAUGAGCAGGAGGAACAUGAGUCCUGCUGGACCUUCUAGGAGCAGGUUCAGUAGCUACAGGAGGAGGAUGGUGCAAAGAAGAAGGGGAUGAAGAGGGAGAAAGAAGAGGUGCAGAUGUGGAAGAGGGUGAAGAAGGACUGAGUAAGGAGUCAUCAGUAGGAGGAAAGCAAACAGGAGAUGGAUUGAGAGUAGGAGAAGAAACAGAAGAGGUAUUCCCUGAAGAGGCAAACGGAAAUACAUCUUCAUGAAAAACCACAUCCCUGGAGACUAUUGUAAGUUUAGUCUUCAAGUUGUACAGCUUGUAUCCUUUUUUUCCCAAUGGAUAUCCCAGAAAAACACAAGGAUCAGCUCUAGGCUGAAAUUUGUCCCUAUGUUGUUUGGGCACAGAAGCAAAACAAAGACAACCAAAGGUUUUAAGAUGGUUGUAAGAAGGAGUUCAUCCAAAAAGCAACUCAAAAAGGGAUACAUUGUUAAGUAGUUUGGAAGGAAAUCUGUUUAUGAGAUAGGUUGCAAUAAGCACACAAUCACCCCAGAAUCUAAGAGGGAGUUGGGAAUGAAAGAGUAAAGCUUUGGAUGUUUCCAGGAGAUAUCUAUGCUUUCUUUCAACCACACCAUUUUGUUGUGGUGUAUGAGAGCAAGAAGUUUGGUGUAGGAUUCCAUUUUCAGCAAAGAAACUGCUGCCAGAACUACUAGACCCAAGUUCAAAGGCAUUUUCACUCCUAAUGGUUUGCACAACAGUCUGGAAUUGAGUUUUGAUCAUGGAAAUGAAAGCCUUGAUAAGAGGAACGGCAUUGCUCUUGGACCCCAUAAGGUGAGUCCAGUUAGCUCUAGUAAAGUCUUCAACUAUUGUUAGAAAAUAUUUACAUCCAUUAUGAGUGGAGGUGGCAUAAGGACCCCAGGUAUCCACAUGGAUAAGUUGAAAAGCAUGUGUUGUCUUAAUGGAACUGUCAUGAUAAGGCAAUCUAGAUUGCCUGGCUAAUGGACAAACAAUACAUAUGAAAGGCAAUCUACAUGAAUGAGUUGAAAGUCAUGUGUUGUCUUUAUGGAACUGUCAUGAAAGGGCAGUCUAGAUUGUCUAGCUAAUGGGAAAACAGUACAUAUUAAAGGUUGUUUAUUUGCAAAUUUGCAUGGAAUAGAAGGAAUGUCCUUCAUUCUAACAAAAGGUAUGUGUCCUAGUCUAUUAUGCCAUAACAUCUACAUUUUAUUCAAUUCAGAAUGGUAUGUACAAUGAGAGGAAGAAAUAGAAU